rnacentral:rRNA from 1 species
CGACGUAGGUAACCUGCCUGGUAGCGGGGGGUAACUAUUGGAAACGAUAGCUAAUACCGCAUAAGAGUAGAUGUUGCAUGACAUUUACUUAAAAGGUGCAAUUGCAUCACUACCAGAUGGACCUGCGUUGUAUUAGCUAGUUGGUGGGGUAACGGCUCACCAAGGCGACGAUACAUAGCCGACCUGAGAGGGUGAUCGGCCACACUGGGACUGAGACACGGCCCAG